AAGGGAAUCAAUAAGGAGUCCGAUCAUGGAAACGGAACAUUCACUGGAGUAGCCUCGACUGGAGAUUUUUCUAGAAGACUGAUGAGACUGGGCUCUUCCUCUCAUCCUGGGAUAGGAUAUGCUUAAUGUAAUAACCUACUGGAUGUUUCCGUGCCUCUCUGCCAAUCUCAACUUUUGUGUGAGUAAUAACGUUGGCAUUCACGCUCGUUGGGAUAGCUGAUCAAAUUCUUAUCAAAAAGGUGCAGCUCAAGUGAC